ACACUUCUACCUGAUCCUGCCUCAAAAAAGGUCAAUCCUGUCUUACCCUACGUGAGGCUCUCUUGCAGAGCGGAAAGGCUUUGUGAGGUUCCUGCUAAUGUUAAUUUCAAAUAUUGGAAGAGAUAAAUUCAUUGCAGACGACUUUUAAUUGAACGGGGUAUUGUAAGCAGUAAAGUAGCCUUGUUGCUACGAUCUGCUGAGAUUAAGCCCAUUGUUCUAUAGAUUU
rnacentral:ncRNA from 1 species